UAUUUCUUUUUGCAACUCACGAGAGACUACAACCUAUCUGCCAUCUCUCUCUCUCUCUCUCACGCCUACAGUCCUGUUCUAAUUUCCACGGCGUCGCCUCUCUCAUUCCUCACCAAAUCAUCGACAUCGCCCAACGCCGAUAGUCAAUUUUCCACAAUCAAGAAUCGCCGUUCAAUAGCAAGGAUGAAAAUUUAAUAGAAGAAGAAAAAGCAACAUCAAAGCUAGCUGCUUCAAAAAGGAAACGACUGGCGACGAUUAGUAUUCCGGUGAUGGAUAUGGGAUUUGAAACGAUGCGAGAUAUGGAUUUGGAUAGGUCGAGUGAAGUGGAGGUGGAAGGAGAAGGGUAUUCUUUGUAUUGUAAGAGAGGUAAAAGGGGUGGUGUUAUGGAGAAUCAGUACUCUGCUGUUAUGGGUCUUCAAGGGUAUUCCAUAUAGCUUUCUUUGGUGUAUUUGAUGGACAUGGAAGCGCAGGAGCUGCAGAAUUUGCAUCAAAGAAUUUGGAUAGGAACAUUAUGAAGGAAGUGGAAAGGAGGAUAUGUGAAGAGGAAAGAAUUGAGAAGGCAGUGAAGAAGCAACCUUUGAAACCUUGUAUUUCAGGAUGAUUUACAGAAUAUGAACUAGAAGGCACUUCAUGUAUUUGAUUAGUAUAUAUUUAGACGAUUGGUCACUAUUUCACAAAUGUUCUUUUACUGCAUUUGUGUUCUCAUAAAUUUUAUAAUCUAAUAUGUUAUUUUCUAUGGUUUGCUUGGCAGGAACAUUACUCUAACUAUGCAAGUUGCUUGUCAAUUGUAGAUCUUCUGCAAAUAGUGGAAAGGUACCUCAUCAUCUAAUUUGACUUCCCUAUAAGAAGGCUAUGUCCAAAAUUGUUUCAUUUUUACACAGGGACCUCAGAGGGCCAGAUAUUGACAACCUCAGCAUAACGAUCUUGUGCAUUUGGAAGAACAACUCCAGGCUGCAUUAAUGGAAGCAAGAUCUACAAAGGUAAAUUUUUUCACCCUAUUCUUAUACUUAAUCUUUUCAAUUUCUUCUACUUUCUCUGCACAAAAGAUCAAUCCUUUUCUAUUAUUCUCAUCACAUCUUCAGAGAACACUAACAUAAAAGUAUCAAUUGUCUUCUUUUCAUCCUUUCACAUUUUUGUUGAAGAUAUUCUCUGAGAAAGCAAAUCUUUUAUGUGUUUUUGUGGGUACUCUAUAUUUGAAUGGAGUAUUUAUUUAUUUAUAUUGGUCAGUUGGACAAUGGCAAGAAAGAAAAAUAUAAAUCUGCAAGGACAAAAGCAGAAUUGAAAGUGUGACUUUUGGAAGAUGAUGGAGAAAUAAGGUUUAGAGAAAAGUACCACAAGUUUGAAAGAGCUUUGAAUGAAGAACUUUGAAUUAAGAACUUUUAAAAGCUUGGGAGAAUUUUUCAGUGAAGCUUGAAAGAGCUUGUACACAAGUCACUGCAUCGGCUGGAAUGGUAUUUUCAUUUGUAGAAGGAGCCUUCAUUUCUGCCCUUAUGAAUGGUGAAUGGAUAUUGCUGGAUGAAGUAAAUUUGGCUCCUCCAGAGAUCUUGUAGCGAGUUAUUGGGGUCCUUGAAGAAGAGAAAGGAUCACUAUGUUUAGUUGAGAGGGGUGAUAUUGAUUAUGUGUGUAGGCAUCCCAACUUCCGUAUAUUUUCUUGCAUGAAUCCUUCAACUGAUGCUGGUAAAAGAGGCUUGCCAUUUUCGUUAAGGAGUAGAUUCACAGAAAAGGAUCUGAUGAAGAGUAUGUUUUAACAAGUAAUGCUGAGAAGCAUCUGGAAAAUGUGGCUCGUGCCAUUUUCAUUGGAAGAUAUCUAGUCCUUCUACAGGGACCCAUGUCUAGUGGAAAGACUAGCCUUGUUAAGUAUUUUGCUACGAUAACUGGUCAUCAAUUUGUACAAAUAAAUAAUCAUGAACAUACUGAUCUACAAGAGUACCUAGGUUCUUAUAUUACCGAUGCAAGUGGAAAGCUCGUUUUCCAUGAGGGUGCCUUGGUUAAGGUUGUUCGAAAUGGUUAUUGGAUUGUUCUCAAUGAGCUCAACUUGGCUUCAUCUGAUGUGCUUGAAGCAUUGAACAGGUUGCUAGAUGACAACAGGGAACUUUUUGUUCCUGAACUGCGUGAAGUUAUUCGUGCGCAUCCAGAUUUUAUGCUUUGCGACUCAAAAUUUGGAUUGUCUCCUCAAAUUUUUAUAGGUAAUGAUUGUUCUUUUUUUUUUUUUUGUAUAUUAUUUGUGGAAGAGGUGAUUAAAUUUUUGUA